GAUGAAGAACGUAGCGAAAUGCGAUAAGUAGUGUGAAUUGCAGAAUUCAGUGAAUCAUCGAAUCUUUGAACGCACAUUGCGCCCCUUGGUAUUCCGUGGGGCAUGCCUGUUCGAGCGUCAUUUGUACCUUCAAGCUCUGCUUGGUGUUGGGUGUUUGUCUCGCCUCUGCGUGUAGACUCGCCUCAAAACAAUUGGCAGCCGGCGUAUUGAUUUCGGAGCGCAGUACAUCUCGCGCUUUGCACUCAUAACGACGACGUCCAAAAGUACAUUUUUACACUCUUGACCUCGGAUCAGGUAGGGAUACCCGCUGAACUUAAGCAUAUCAAUAAGCGGAGGA
rnacentral:misc_RNA from 1 species